GUGACCGCUGGCGGCGUGCCUAACACAUGCAAGUCGAGCGAGAAUUUGUGGAAUGCGGGCUUCGGCCCAAAUGAAAUGAAGGAAAGCGGCGGACGGGUGAGUAACGCGUGGGUAACCUGCCCCAUACAAUGGGAUAGCCACUGGAAACGGUGAUUAAUACCAUAUGAAGCUUCAUGGCCGCAUGGCUGAGAAGUUAAAGAUUUAUCGGUAUGGGAUGGACCCGCGUCUGAUUAGCUAGUUGGUGAGGUAACGGCUCACCAAGGCGACGAUCAGUAGCCGACCUGAGAGGGUGAUCGGCCACACUGGAACUGAGACACGGUCCAGACUCCUACGGGAGGCAGCAGUGGGGAAUAUUGCACAAUGGGCGCAAGCCUGAUGCAGCAACGCCGUGUGAGUGAAGAAGGCCUUCGGGUCGUAAAACUCUGUCCUAUGGGAAGAAAAAAAUGACGGUACCAUAGGAGGAAGCCCCGGCUAACUACGUGCCAGCAGCCGCGGUAAUACGUAGGGGGCAAGCGUUAUCCGGAAUCACUGGGCGUAAAGGGUGCGUAGGCGGCUAAGCAAGCCAGGGGUGAAAGGCAUUGGCUCAACCAAUGUAAGCCUUUGGAACUGUUUGGCUUGAGUGCAGGAGAGGUAAGUGGAAUUCCUAGUGUAGAGGUGAAAUUCGUAGAUAUUAGGAGGAACACCAGUUGGCGAAGGCGACUUACUGGACUGUAACUGACCCUG
rnacentral:rRNA from 1 species